UCCCCCUUAGCUCAGCGGUAGAGCGCUUCACUAGUAUUGAGCGAGACUCCUGAUAUGCUAUGAAGAGGUCAGUCGUUCAAGUCGGCUAGGGGGAA